rnacentral:tRNA from 1 species
GGAGGUAUAGCUCAAGUGGUAGAGCGCAUGCUUAGCAUGCAUGAGGUCCUGGGUUCAAUCCCCAGUACUUCCU